rfam:Talaromyces marneffei PM1 scf035, whole genome shotgun sequence.
GGCAAGGUGGCGGAGUGGUUAACGCGCCAGUUUCGAAAGCUGGUUCCUUCGGGAGCGUGUGUUCGAAUCACACCCUUGUCG